ensembl:lncRNA novel transcript
UGGCUAAUACUGCAGUUUGGGAUCCACAGCCUACAAAACCCCACAGCUCCUAAGAAUUCUCUCACCUGCCUUCUGCCCUUAAGCUCCGGUAGAUUGCAAAUAACCUGCUUUCUUUCUGUUCCCGAGCUGCGUUCGGACCCGUCGGAUCGUAAAUCCCACGUAAGGUCGGAAGAUUUGAACUUUCUACUUGGACACCUAACACCCACAGUCCUCCAGCUGCGUUCGGACCCGUCUGAUCGUAAAUCCCAUGUAAGGUACCUGCCGUCGGAAGAUUUGAACGUUCUACUUGGACACCUAAAACCCACAGUCCUCCAGGUACCUGCCGUCGGAAGAUUUGAGCUUUCUUCUUGAACACCUCAUACCCACAGUCCUCCAGGCGCCAGUGGGAUCAAGAGAGGGCAACAUUGCAACUCUCCAUGCUCCUGCAAUAUCCAUGGCUAUUCUGUAGACAGAAAGACAACAGGUACAAAGCCCUAAGGAUUAUAAAGGUAUGCUGCUUACCAUCAUCUUAGUGACCAAGGCAGCGAAGCUGUUUCUGUACCUUGGAACAGUCUUCCCUGACAAGCCAGAGAACAGUGAUAAAGCCACCAGCCUUGGGAUCAGGACUGAAAAGGCAAGAGUGAUGGAGAUUUCUCCUGCGCUAAGCCAAGAGAAGGUUUCAGCACUUCAGACAGCUCCCACCGAAGUAGCCGCGCUCCCAGCUGCUUGCAGAUGUUGAAAAGGAAAGCCUCGGUUUGUCUUGAGGUUGUCAGCAGGUGCAAGACACGUAAUAAAAUGCAAUGUGUUCCUAA